rnacentral:rRNA from 1 species
UACAGAGGUGGCGAGCGUUGUUCGGAUUUACUGGGCGUAAAGGGUGCGUAGGCGGUCUCAUAUGUCGGUUGUGAAAUCCCACGGCUUAACUGUGGAAUGGCGACCGAAACCAUGAGGCUAGAGUGCAGGAAGGGAGAGUGGAAUUCUUGGUGUAGCGGUGAAAUGCGUUGAUAUCAAGAGGAACACCGGUGGCGAAGGCGGCUCUCUGGAAUGCAACUGACGCUGAGGCACGAAAGCUGGGGGAG